AGUGAACGCUGGCGGCGUGCCUAAUACAUGCAAGUCGAACGGAGUGGCGCACGGGUGAGUAAUAUAUAGCUAAUCUGCCCCUUGCUGGAGGACAACCGUUAGAAAUGACUGCUAAUACUCCAUAGCAAGGGAUGAGACUAUAUCGUAUCAGCUAGUCGGUGUGGUAACGGCCGACCGAGGCUAUGACGCGUAACUGGUCUGAGAGGAUGAUCAGUCACAUGGGAACUGAGACACGGUCGAAACUCCUACGGGAGGAAGCAGGAGGGAAUAGUGCGCAAGGGGGGAAAACCUGACGCAUCAACGGCGCGUGGAGGAUGACACUGUUCGGAGCGUAAACUCCUUUUGUUAGGGAAGCGGUACCAACAGAAGAAGUGACGGCUAAAUACGUGCCAGCAGCCGCGGUAAUAC
rnacentral:rRNA from 1 species